rnacentral:lncRNA from 1 species
UUAACUUCCAUAUUUUAAAUUAUAAAAAUAAACUGGGAAACUAAAGCAAAUGUGCAUCCUUGCGGGACUCCAAGCCUGGGCACUGGCCGCCUGCGUGCACUCCUCUAAGUGUGCAUAACACGCCCGCAGGGGUUGCCAGCAGGAAGCCUGCGUUAACUUUAUCUCGUGGUGGGGAAGGUGGAGCCCACGCCCACACCUAGCAAGCUGGAGAGGGAGGUUUCGUGAGGAAAUAAAUAUGGGGCACGGAAACACAGUCUUCCGCAUGGAGUCCCCAGAGGCAGUGCAUUUUAAACCCUAAAUGUGGAUUACUGAGUGUCCGAGUGGAGUUUAAAUUCCGUUUGAAGAAACUGGAUAAGGAGUGUUUGUGUGGGUGUUUGUGCGCACGGCUAUAUGGGAGCAGGCACAGGAUCUCAGUGUUGGGGGUGUCCCUAGUGUGCGAUGUCCUCCUCUCGCCACAUUAGGAGAACUCCUUUAGCUCCCCCAAACUGGCCCCCGUAACUACCCUGCCUCGGUUCGUAAGGGGUUAACCAAAACCGAUUCCGAGGACAGACAACCCGCCCCCACAGUCACCCCCACCCACACUCGCUUCCGACCCUGGCCAAGCCCCCAAAUCUUCCCCGGGGACCCCCCACCCCGCAGCCCACCCACCGGAGCGCACAGCUCCUCACCUGAAGGGCCGGGCCACGUCCGGCCUCCCGAAGAGGCUGCGUGCGUCAGGCGGACCACCGCACGUGUCCUCGGCGGCGCGGAGCAGCCCUGCAAGCUAUUUGGCAUAUGAAGGUCUUGACCUGAGAAAACCAUCUUGGAUAACCGUGGCAAGGAGAAGGAAAAAUGCAACACCUAGGAGAUUUCAGUAAACAGUAGAAUCAUGCCAACCUAAUCUGUGUUAAAAUGCUUGGAAUGUGGGAGCCGCUGAUGAUGCCUGUUGUCUGUGUGUCUGACUGAAUCCUUUCUUUACUCAGAGCAGCAAAGCAAAGCCUGGGAACCAGGCCAAAUGCCUGCCACUUACCUUAAAUUGAUCAGCCACUUUGAGAUUAAAACUCCUGAAAGCUGCCACACCGUGAAAACAAGGCCCCCUUCACAUUAAAGGCAAAUUGCGACUUUGAGUUUGCUGUGAUCUUUUUUCCAUUUUAUCCAGUUUUUCACAGUGCACACUUUUUUUUUCCUUUCCAUUUAUGCUCCAAUGUAGAAGCCAAUAGUUACAGCAUCUUGGCCAAGCAUUCAUUAAGGUUUAUAAGACCAAAAUUUAUGGUUAUUUAGGAGUUGGCACAAAGACAGACUGUUGCUGGAAAAAGAAAAAGAAAUACAGGUGGGAAAUAUAAGCCUCAACAAAGGCCCAUACUAUACAGUAGUGUGCUGGGCUCACAGGAGUGUCUGCAAGGAAAAUACU